rnacentral:snoRNA from 1 species
GUGCCUGCAUGAUGAAAACUAUGUUGGUAGGGACAUCUGAGAGGGUGAUGAAUACCAACAUAUCUGAACAGGGCAU